UCUCCCUCACCUUCCUCCAGGCCCCCUACGGCAAGCACCACAGGCCCGGCUGGGGGCCCAACCUCCCUCCCCCCUUAGCCUGGCUCUUCAUGGAAAGCCCAACCCUCUGGCUCACCCUCCUCCUCUUCCCACUGGGCCUCCACUCCCACAACCCCAAAGCCCAAGCCCUCAUCACCCCCUUCCUAAUCCACUACUUCAACCGCACCAUCCUCUACCCUCUCCACCUCCUCCUCACUCCUUCAAAGAAAACCCCAACGGGCUUCCCCCUCGGCGUAGCCCUAAUGGCCUUCGCCUUCAACGUUCUCAAUUCCUACCUCCAGGCCCGAACGGUCUCUCACUACAUCAAUCACUAUGAUGAC
rnacentral:misc_RNA from 1 species